UGGGGAAUUUUGGACAAUGGGCGAAAGCCUGAUCCAGCAAUGCCGCGUGUGUGAAGAAGGCCUUCGGGUUGUAAAGCACUUUUGUCCGGAAAGAAAUCCUUGGCUCUAAUACAGUCGGGGGAUGACGGUACCGGAAGAAUAAGCACCGGCUAACUACGUGCCAGCAGCCGCGGUAAUACGUAGGGUGCAAGCGUUAAUCGGAAUUACUGGGCGUAAAGCGUGCGCAGGCGGUUUGCUAAGACCGAUGUGAAAUCCCCGGGCUCAACCUGGGAACUGCAUUGGUGACUGGCAGGCUAGAGUAUGGCAGAGGGGGGUAGAAUUCCACGUGUAGCAGUGAAAUGCGUAGAGAUGUGGAGGAAUACCGAUGGCGAAGGCAGCCCUCUGGGCCAAUACUGACGCUCAUGCACGAAAAGCGUGGGGGAGCAAAACAGGAUUAGAUACCCUGGUAGUCCACGCCCUAAACGAUGUCAACUAGUUGUUGGGGAUUCAUUUCCUUAGUAACGUAGCUAACGCGUGAAGUUGACCGCCU
rnacentral:rRNA from 1 species